ACCGCGAUAGAUCAGUUGGUAGAGCUUCGGCCAGGUUAGCGGAGUGUCGCCGGUUCGUUUCCGGCUCGCGGCG
rnacentral:tRNA from 1 species